rnacentral:lncRNA from 1 species
AAAUAAGAGGGAUUACUUUAAAUGACUCUCUGAGCUUUUGAUGUAACUGGAAAAGAAACAAUACAAGAGAUCAUAAUUGUGAAGGAAGGCCAUAAUCUGAGAUUUCGCCGACAAGUGAGGCUCAAAAUCAUCCCCGAUUGACUCGAUCAACAAGCAGUUAUCGGACAAUCCAUCAGUGCCGUAGAUAAAUGGGUCAUUAGAAGGAUUUACUCGGGAAAGCUUUUUCAACUAGGUGAUACAUUUAU